AGCGAACGCUGGCGGCAGGCCUAACACAUGCAAGUCGAACGAAGCCUUCGGGCUUAGUGGCGGACGGGUGAGUAACACGUGGGAACGUACCUUUUGGUUCGGAAUAACGCAGAGCAAUUUGCGCUAAUACCGGAUGAGCCCUUAGGGGGAAAGAUUUAUCGCCGAAAGAGCGGCCCGCGUUAGAUUAGCUAGUUGGUGAGGUAAAGGCUCACCAAGGCUACGAUCUAUAGCUGGUCUGAGAGGAUGAUCAGCCACACUGGGACUGAGACACGGCCCAGACUCCUACGGGAGGCAGCAGUGGGGAAUCUUGCGCAAUGGGCGAAAGCCUGACGCAGCCAUGCCGCGUGAAUGAUGAAGGUCUAGGAUUGUAAAAUUCUUUUACCAGGGACGAUAAUGACGGUACCUGGAGAAAAAGCCCCGGCUAACUUCGUGCCAGCCGCCGCAUAACAC
rnacentral:rRNA from 1 species